CGGGGGAGGACACAGCACAUUUGGUAACAGAUCAGAGAUAACAUGGUGCGGAGGGUCGAUUAAGCAGAUUAAAGAGCACUGCUCCUGGAAAGACAGACCAUCAAACUCAUUUUUUCUUAUAGCGAUUGUUGGUGCGGGGCUAUGACCAGACCCAUAACAGAGAGGAGAAUCGGGCCAUAAUCCAGUCUCUCGGUUCAGAAUUAUACCAAAAACUCUCCAUCUGGCACAAAAAAGAAGCAAUACAGAAGAAAUGGUGCGAUUUCAAAAGAUUCCAAUACAAUCGGGUCAUGGAGAUGAGUAAACGAUU